CCUAAAUAGUUGGAAUUACAGGCAAGCACCACCACGCUCAGCUACAGGAAUUUAGCCAAUUCAGAGGAAAUCUUCCCCAUAAUUAUGGAACUUUCUUACAGAUUUUACCAAGUCUGGUCAACCCAAUAAGAAAAAGACUGAAAUAACAACAACAACUUCAACAAAUAAAAAAAAACAGUUAAGCUAAAUAAACAGAUGAUUGCAGAAUUUAUGUGAUUACUGGGUACUCUAAUGGUAAGGAGAAAUUAAGACCAGCUAGUUGUUAAUCUUAACUUUUAGUCAUUAAGGAGAAUUUCCAAGACAAAACUGCAAUCCAGCUGCUUACCUAGGAAUACGGCUUAGGCUGAAAACUUCUAUCGUCUUAGAAAUGGGAAUAAACCUCACACUCACCGUCCCUGUUGGAAGCAAGCUGAAACUCCAAAAAAAAAGUUGCCUGUUGUCCAUCAUCAUGGUGAAGCGGCGUCGUUGUCUGGGAACCCAAUUGGAGACGUUGGAUAUUUUAUCAAGUCUUUGACUGGAAUGACAUUUUUUCAGAAAUAACCAGACUGCUUUGAGGAAUUAAAAUUGACUUUAAGGGCUGAGAAAAACCCCUUGGAAAAACUGGCAUGGUACCCUCUGCAUGCAAUUCCUUUACAAAGCUCCUGACCUGUGUUCUGAAGGCUGGGAAGUCCAAGAUUAAGGCGUCAACAGGUCUUGUGUCUGCUGAGGGCUGUCUCCCUGAUUUGCAGAUGUCUGCUUUCUUGCUGUGUCCUCACAUGGGAAAAAGAGAGAGAAUUUGCUGGUAUUCCUUUUUAUAAGGACACUAACCCCAUUCAUGAGGGUCCCACCCUCAUGACCUCGCCUAAACCUAUAACCUCCAAGGACUCCAUUUCCAAAUACCAGCAACCACAUGUGUGAGCUUAGAAGAGGAUCCUUCCCCAGGUGAGCCUUGAGAUGACCCUGGCCUGUGACUUGAUGGCAGCUUUUGAGAGACUGAGCCAGAGGCCUCCAGUCUCCCUCUCCCUCUCUUUCCACGGUCUCCCUCUGAU
rnacentral:lncRNA from 1 species